AUGAUUGUUUCCAGUCUAUUGCUAACAGUUGCUGAUGUGGUUGUGCCCAAUGCAGAUGCUGGCAAAGCUGAUGUUACUGGUGCAAAUGUAGAAGUUUUUGCUGUAGUAGCAGACACUAUUUGGCCUGUUGAUGCUGUCACUGUAUUUCCGGUUGUAGUUAUACUGAUUGUUUCCGGUACAUUACUAACAGUUGCUGAUGUGGUUGUGCCCAAUGCAGUUGCUGGCAAUGCUGAUGUCACCGGUACCAAGGUAGAAGCUUUGGGUGUACUAGCAGACUGUACUACACCUGUUGUUGUCACUGUAUCUUCUGUUGUAGCUAUCCUGAUUGUUUCCUGUUUAUUGCUAAGAGUUGCUGAUGUGGUUGUACUCAAUGCAGUUGCUGGCAAAGCUGAUGUCACUGGUAAAAAUGUAGAAGCUUUGGGUCUAGUAGCAGACUCUACUAGACCUGUUGUUGUUGUCACUGAAUCAUCUGUUGUAGUUAUCCUUAUUGUUUCUGGCUCAUUGCUAACAGUUGCUGAUGUGGUUGUGCCCAAUGCAGUUGCUGGCAAUGCUGAUGUCACUUGUAGAAAUGUAGAAGUUUUGGGUGUAGUAGGAGACUCUAUUAAGCCUGUUGUUGUUGUCACUGUGUCUUCUGUUGUAGUUAUCCUGAUUGUUUCCUGUUCAUUGCUAAGAGUUGCUGAUGUGGAUGGGCCCAAUGCAGUUGCUGGCAAAGCUGAUGUCACUGGUAAAAAAGUAGAAGCUUUGGGUGUAGUAGCAGACUCUACUAGGCCUGAUGUUGUUGUCUCUGUAUUUUCUGUUGCAGUUAUAAUGAUUGUUUCCAGUCUAUUGCUAACAGUUGCUGAUGUGGUUGUGCCCAAUGCAGUUGCUGGCAAUGCUGAUGUCACCCGUGCAAAUGUAGAAGCUUUGGGUGUAGUAGCCGAAUCUACUAGAACUAGCAGUUGUCUGGCGAAUAGCUGAUGUCACGGUGCAAAAUGUAGAAGUCUUUGGGUGUAGUAGCAGACUCUACCAAGCCUGUUGUUGUUGUCACUGUAUUUUCUGUUGUAGUUAUACUGAUUGUUUCCCGUACUAUUGCUAAUAGUUGCUGAUGUGGUUGUGCCCAAUGCAGUUGCAUGUAAAGCAGAUGUCACUGGUACAAACGUAGAAGCUUUAGUUGUAGUAGCAGACUCUACUAGGCCUGUUGUCAUUGUCAAUGUAUCUUCUGUUGUAGUUAUUCUGAUUGUUUCCGGCUCAUUGCUAACAGUUGCUGAUGUGGUUGUGCCCAGUGCAGUUGUUGGCAAUGCUGAUGUCACCUGUACAAAUGUAGAAGCUUUGGGUGUAGUAGCAGACUCUAUUAGGCCUGUUGUUGUUGUCGCUGUAUCUUCUGUUGUAGUUAUUCUGAUUGUUUCUCGCUCUUUGCUAACAGUUGCUGAGGUGGUUGUGCCUAUUGCAGUUGCUGGAAAUGCUGAUGUUGAUUCUAUUGAUGUUAACAUAGUUGCACUUCUUGUCUCUGCAGCUGUAAAUAUAUCAUUAGAUGAUGGUAUUUUUGUUGUUGGUGAUGCUGUUUCUGUUUCAGACACUGUUGUUUUACUUGGUGUUAUUGGAUCAGUUUUGGCUGUUAAAAGUUCUGUUGUGACUUGAGGAGAUGAUGCAGAUUGUAAUGCACUGAUUGUCACUGCCUCUGUUGUAGCUACUGUUUGUGUAGGCUGAAGUGUUGCCAUUACCCCUAUAGGUAUCAAAUAUAAAUCAAGUUAGUGUACAAUGUUAACAAUUGAAAAGA
rnacentral:lncRNA from 1 species